rnacentral:rRNA from 1 species
AACGGCCGUACCAUGCUGAAUAUACCGGUUCUCGUUAGAUCACCGAAGUCAAGCAUCAUUGGGCGCGGUCGGUACUUGGGCGGGUGACCACCUGGGAACACCGCGUGCCGUU